rnacentral:tRNA from 1 species
AGGAUUAUAGUUAAUAAUAACAAUUGAUUUGCAAUCAGUAAGUACUACUUUUAGUUAAUCUUA